UACGUAGGGUGCAGGCGUUAAUCGGAAUUACUGGGCGUAAAGCGUGCGCAGGCGGUCUCUUAAGACAGGUGUGAAAUCCCCGGGCUUAACCUGGGAACUGCGCUUGUAACUGAGAGGCUUGAGUGUGCCAGAGGGGGGUGGAAUUCCACGUGUAGCAGUGAAAUUCGUAGAUAUUCGGAGGAACACCAGUGGCGAAGGCGGCUCACUGGUCCAUUACUGACGCUGAGGUGCGAAAGCGUGGGGAGCAAACAGG
rnacentral:rRNA from 1 species